CAGGUGCAGCAUGGAGUCUGAGGUCUGGGCCUGGGCUCAGCCUGUUUCAGCUGCUGCGCAGUUGCUUUCUGCAGAGGGGACGCGUCCCCCCCUCCACCCACGAGUGCGUUCGCAUGCGGGGCACUGCUCCCGGCUGAGACCAGGGUUUGGCUCUGUGUCUCAUUCCCAGCUCUCAGCUGCUGCGCCUUAGUGGUGUUCCCAUUCCUCCCUCACGGCAGCGGCCCUGUGGUUUCAGGGGAGAGCGGGGGACCCGUCCCUGGGGACGGACUCCUGCUUGCUCCCAAGGGGCAUCUUGGCAGGGCGGACGUUGGAAGCUGAACACAGAGGAAGCAUCUGGAAGCGGAGCUCUUGGCCUCAGCCCUCCUGUCCUGGAUGCUGAUGGGAGUUCAUGCUGGGAAAUCCUCUCUGGUGGUCUGGGGAUGCUGAGCCGCUGAGGAUGUCUUUGUGGAGGUGUAGCAUUUGUCAAGAAGGAGGCAGAGAAGCUUGCGGAGGAGUGAGCUCAGGGAGGAAUUCAUGCCAGGAAGACGUGGCCUCAAGGUGGACGCCUUCCUCUCCUGCCUGGGAAUAGACAGGGCUGCACUGAGCUCGCAGGACAGUGGGGCUCAGCCUUGGCUGAUGGAGUCAUGAGAAGUCCCAAUUCCAGUUCUGAUGAUCUGUCCCGGGGUGUCAAGUCUCCAGAGUCCAGCUGCACAGCUCCAUCCCAGCCAGUGCUUGUGGCAGCCUCUCCAAGUCUUUGCCUGCCACUCUCGUCCCUGCGGUGAGCUGAUCACGGUGCACAACAUGGCGCCUGGCACAUGGAUGCAGAUGUGAAGACAGCCAAAGGGGAGACAUUUACGUCGUUCAUAAAAUCGUUCGAAGAUAGUCCCGGAAUGUCCAUCCGGUGCCCGAAGUUUGCUGCCUGGGAUAUAAAUAAUAAAUACAACGAUUAAGUUCAAA